AAAUUGAAGAGUUUGAUCAUGGCUCAGAUUGAACGCUGGCGGCAGGCCUAACACAUGCAAGUCGAACGGUAACAGAAAGCAGCUUGCUGCUUUGCUGACG
rnacentral:rRNA from 1 species